ensembl:lncRNA
UCUUGCAGAUGGUGAGACCCUAAGAUUGUGUUGUAGUGCAGUGUGAGGGGGAACGUUACAUUAAAGAGUAAAAUGAAAGAGAAUGACUCGUGUUGUGAGCUCCAGUCCAUUUUUCUGUGUGCUGGCUGUGAUCAGCUGGAUUCAACAAGGUGAAACAAAUUUUCUGUGAGAUUUAUGCACGACAGAAGCUGUAGAGCCAGAGUGAGUGUCAGCAUCUUUACCAUAAAUACAAAUUCAACUCUUGAUGUAAUCUAGUAACCGACUUAUUAUAGUUUGUGUUUUCAGUUUUUAGUUCACAGCCUUGAUUUUCUUCUUUCUAUUUGAGUUUUUAUUGCUUGAAAAUGUUUUUGUUUUAAUCCCGUUUCUGUUUGUUUCUCUGUUUAAGUCUAAUUAGUUUAAUUAUUAUUACUGCAUGCAGGCCGAUGUCAGAGGCAACAAUUUCAGUACAGGUGUUACAAUAAAAACAACUUGUUAGAGCAGCUGAGUCUAAAUGAAAAUGUCCUUCAACGCCUUUUACCAGACUAAUAGAUACUAAACUAAGAAUAUUUUUCCUCUUUAAUUUAAUUUUAGUUUUCCAAGUUUACAAAAUCAUUUCAGUUUCUUUUGCAAGACUUUUCCCAAAAACAUCAUGAGGAUCUCUCCAACCCCGGGCCCGGUCCCUGAAUCGUUUGCUACCGGGUGGCGAGAGUUCAGGCUCUGGUUUGAAAUUCGUGGUUUUCAGGGUUUUUAGCAUUUUUUUUAUCGUUAACUCGGCUUCCUCAGGUCUUUUCCUGUGUGUUAUGAAUUAAUCUUCUUUUUUUUUUGGUUCUGGUUUUAUUUAUCCGCGACACCUUAAAGGCCGGUCCAUGAAAAUAUUGUCGGACAAAAACCGGUCCGCUGCUCUACAGUGAAUUAGGACGUUACAUGCAAGAUAUAAGUUUGCAGCAUAAAGACUUUCACUUGUUGAGCAGUGCCGGUCUUUGAACACGAGCUCCUCCGCUCAUUCUCAGUGUUGCACUCGAAUGUUUCCUGGGUGAUGCAACAUUUCACUCACAAACACAUUUAGUGACAAACUGCAGGAAACAGUUUGUGUGUUGGGUGAUAUGUUAAUGUUCACUCCUCUGUUGCAGCGUGAUACCUCAAUAACCUGACCUUUACGUCUGCACCGUGCAUGCAUCACAGGGACGAGGAGGAAAGUAAGCAGGCUGUGGCAUGUGAGUACUUUCUUAUAACUGAGCAACCAUCUGUCACACGACAGUAACAUUAACCUGCCUAUCAGAUGUAAUUACUCAUUAACUGAAAGUUCCAGAACGCUUUAACUCCUAAUCAGCAAGUGUAGUUUCUGAGUCUACUGAAGAAGUGGUGGAGGAGGAAGAAGCAGAAAGACAAUCAUGCCAAAACAUUUCUAAUAUCAAAAAGUGCCACUCUGAGAACGACCAGCUUCAUCAUACAGAGUGAAGGAGACUCACACUUUUGUGUUGGGGCUUCUUCACAGCGCUGAAGCUGAUUUCUUAACCUUCAACCACAACAAACAGCUUCUUCUUAUACGCGUUUCUCUUGUGGUUUAACCAGAUCUCUGACAGCAGUUGUUGUUGAUAUGAGAUGCAAGUUGUCCUGUUGUAAAGCCUUAAUGGACCAAUCAGCAUGCAUCAGCAGAAGCCUACCUGAGCUGAGGAAAGCGAGGAGGAUCAUCAAGGACUCCAGUCACCCCAGCCAUAAACUGUUCAGACUGCUUCCAUCAGGAAGGAGGUUCUGCAGCAUCCGGUCCCGUACCAGCAGACUGAGAGACAGCUUCUUCCAUCAGGCCAUCAGACUGCUGAACACGUCAUAGACACCUCAGCUUCACUACUGGAACAUUAUGCACUCCAUACUGUAUAUAAAUGCCACUUGUUUUGCACAUAUUCAACUCUGUAUAUUUUAUAUAUUUUAUUAUUAUUAUUUUUUUUAUUUUUUAUUUUAUUUUAUUAUUAUUAUUUUUUUACUAUUUAAUUUGUAAAAAUGUGUAUACACACACACACACACACACACACACACACACACACACACACACACACACACACACACACACGUAGGAAAAUAUUUAGUAUACACAUCCAGAAAUGCAUACACUAUUAUAUAUUGUACAUAUAUUUAUUAGUUUCAGGUUGGCCAUUCUUGUAUUUUGCUCGUUUGUGUUGUUGUGUUUGCACAUCUCUGUUGCUUGUGGGGCUCGCACACAAGAAUUUCACUCGCAUGUGCUGUGCCAGUGUGCCUGCACAUGUGAUGUGACAAUAAAAGUGAUUUGAUUUGAUUUGAGCUUUGCUGGCGACCGCGUCCAUCCCUUUGUGACCACAGUGUGCCCAUCUUCUGACGGAUGCUUCCAACAGGAGAAUGAUCCAUGUCAUAAAGCUCAAAUAACUUUGAACAGGACAGUGAGGCCUGCACAGACACCAGGUCACAAUCUGUGCUGGAACAGCAACAGUCUAAUCAUUGAUGUGCAGCUGACAAAUUAGCAGCAACUGUGUGAUGCUUCAUGUGCUUCCAUAUGUCAGGACUGAACAAAACCCCACAAGAUAAGCAGAAUACUAUGGGCUCAAAUUGUGGUCAUAAAUACUUUGUACUUGUAAAUCAGGAUUUGUAUGUGUAAUUUGUGUGUGUGUGUAACAAAGAUUUGUGUGUGGACUCAGCCAAAAAAUCUGUGAGAAACUCUGCACUCAAGUUUCAAGUUACAAGUAUGAAUGUUGACCCUAUUUUUCUUCCUUUGAUCUGAUUGGCCAAUGUCAUGUCAAUCACAAAUUUAACUAUCCAAUCAGAGAACAGAUGGGUUUGGCUGUCGGAGGGGCGCUUUUUUGAAGUCCGCACACAAAUUCUUUUUAUACAUACAAAUCCUGAUUUACAAGUACAAAAUAUUUAUGACCACAAUUUGAGCCCAUAGAAUACCAGCGAAUAUAACGCCUGACAUGAGUGUUAUUGUUACUGUAUGUGAUGUGGACUCUUCUUUUAACAAGCCUGAAAUAAUCAUUAUUAAAGUUUAGCUCCAGUCACACAUAUUCUUUGAGGAACAUAUAAUGAGUGCAGCCUUGUAUACAAUAAGAGGAAUAUGAAGUGAGACUCAGUUGUAAAAGGAUAUAAAUGGCAAACUGUUUCUAAAAUCAAAAACAAUCCAUUUUAAGUUAGAAAUAGUUGGAAAUGGGAAAAAUG